rnacentral:lncRNA from 1 species
GACGACUGUGCAGACAGUUGCCUCGACGCCUCGUCUGAACAAGCAGACCCCUAGGGAGAAGUUGUGCCCAAAUCUGGGCUCCGGCUCCUGGCUUCUCUGCGUCCGGUUCCUGAAUCCACAGCUAAUGAGGACUGACUUUUUCUUUGAUGUCAGCAUCCCCGCUGAACACUAAGCCACGUGAGGCAGGAAGCAUGGACCUGCUGGCUCACCGCUAUGUCCUCAGGGCACAGGGCCCCACCCACACAACAAGAAAGUGCUUUUCCAGACCACAGAAAGGAAGAUACCCACAAGAAGAACAGUUACAUUUUGUUAAGGAGACGUGUAUAAAAGAUCGCCUGUCACCUUGCUAUUCAACGCGUGGUGUGCAACCAGCAGCCUCAGCAAUAUCUGGGAGCUUAUUAGACAUGCAGAAUUUUAGCCCCAUCCUCGACCUACUGAACCC